UACCAUGCUGAACAUACCGGUUCUCGUUAGAUCACCGAAGUCAAGCAUCAUUGGGCGCGGUCAGUACUUGGGUGGGUGACUACCUGGGAACACCGCGUGCCGUU
rnacentral:rRNA from 1 species